rnacentral:misc_RNA from 1 species
GUAUUGAUUGCGUAUCGCAAAGUGGGGUCAUUCUACACUUUUUAAAAGGGGUGUUUGUGUGAAAACGCGAGCCCCCUCCGAGAUGAUCCCAAAGGGUGCCCACGCGGUGAUGCACAAAGGGUGAGAUGGAUUAUUAUGUGAGGAAACACACCCGGGCGUGCACGACAUUGAGUCAGCGACAGCCCUUGCAUGCCCCUCACAUUUUGUACGAUAAUGAUCCUUCCGCAGGUUCACCUACGGAAA